UACGGAGGGUGCAGGCGUUAUCCGGAUUCACUGGGUUUAAAGGGUGCGUAGGUGGGUUGGUAAGUCAGUGGUGAAAUCCCCGAGCUUAACUUGGGAACUGCCAUUGAUACUAUCAAUCUUGAAUACCGUGGAGAUCAGCGGAAUAUGUCAUGUAGCGGUGAAAUGCUUAGAUAUGACAUAGAACACCAAUUGCGAAGGCAGCUGGCUACACGGAUAUUGACACUGAGGCACGAAAGCGUGGGGAUCAAACAGG
rnacentral:rRNA from 1 species